rnacentral:lncRNA from 1 species
GCCAGGUCACUCAAAUUCCAGCCAUGUGUGUGGGUGUGUGAUUGAGCAUGAGGAGUGCAGGGCAUGCUGACCUGGAUGAAGCAUUGGACCCCCCACUCCCCAUCCUGCUGAUGUGGCACCCACUAGGCCUCUCUUAAGCUUAUCCACACUCUCCCUUGUAUGAUAAUUUUGACUCUCUUGCUUCUAAAUUCAUAGGCCAACAACUGAAAGUGAAAAAAUAAUCAUUUAUUAUUAUUAUUAUUAUUAUUAUUAUUUUAAUAAUACACAAACAAGUGAAUGAGAUUUUGUCAUUCAUUUUCCACUGGAUUUUUCAUAGAUUCCUGAUGGGAACUAGAGCAUUUGAUUUAUGAGUCCAUGUUUCAAAAAGCUACUGCUAAACAAAGAACAAUGGCUACUUUGUGACAUUCUUGUAUUUUAGAAAAAUAUUGUGUGAAAAAACAGGUGUUGUGGAAAAAAUAUAAGUUUAUUACCUUGACAGUGUUCAACAAUUUUAUGCUCCACAUCAUAUAAAUUGUUAACAAAGUAAGGGCUGCAAAUGUUCUUCAGACACACACAAACAAGGCUACAUGAUACUUUCCUUCUUUACAUUGUUCUAGAAUUAAUUGGAUACAUUUACUGGUACAUAAUCCUUGUUUUUUUUUGUUCCCAACACUGUUAGUAACUUUAAGAACAUGAGGGUGAUUCCAUUUCAUUUUUUAUUUUGUUUUUGACACAUCCAGGAAAUAUUCUGCAGAGUUCUCUGGCAGAUAAUGGAGCUCUAUAAAGUGUUAUGCAUAGUUACCAUACUAAGAUUGUAGGUCAAGUGUGGGAUGGACUACAACUCUACAUCGUGCAAUUCUGUUCCCACCAUCUAAUUACAAACCAAAACUUCACUUUCAUUAUUUGCUUUUACAUAACAUUUGACAUUGACACCAAGU